rnacentral:lncRNA from 1 species
UUUUUUUUUUUUUUUGGUGAGAACAAAAAUGUUUGAGGUAAAUGGUUUUCAAAAUUAUUAGAAAGAGUAUGUGGGCAAAAAUAAAGACCAUUAUUAUAUUCCAGGGCAGUAGUGUUUGGUGCAAACUUCUCUAUCCCAACUAGUUUGAACUCUUAACUGAUGUAAAAAACAUUUGACAAGGAAAUUUAAUUUGCAAGUAAGAGUUGAGACAGCGUACAUCUGUAGAUUAUUGGGCACAAGUUUACUCCCCAAAUUUUAAAAAGUCAAAUAAGAAAAAAAAAAUGUCAGACUAAUGUUUAUCCUUUCCCCCAGAAGAGGCCUCAGAAAAAGUCUGUAACCACCCAAAGGCACAGGUAAAAGGGUGCUUAAUUAUAUAACUUGGUCCAAUAAGGGUCUGUUUAAUCUCUAAUGGUGUGGAUACAUAACCAAAGGUAAUCCUUCCUAUGUUGACUUAAAGUGACUCUCAUCCAGACACAUAUCUAGAUAGUUAAGAAUACACAAAUCUACAGAAAAGUGGACCCAGUCAGAUAGGAAGUACCCCAAAACCAAGAAGCCUGACAUUUUCCAAGAGUAUGCCACUGUUGAGAAUUCAUUAAUAAUUGGGAAAAGCUGGUCUGUUUUCUGCACUUUCGCAAGAGGGGGCUGAAGUUAACUUUUCUGUCUUGAGUGUAUUUCCUAUCCCUUUUUGACAUAAUAUCCUGGCUUUCUGUGAUCCUGUAUUUCUUUGGCUAUUAAAACAAACCUGCCUGGUGAAAACCUAUUCUAAGACUAUUUCUCCUCCCCCUAAGUAGUAUAAAGGAUUUUUUGUGAUUUUGAUAUUUGUUUGGGUUAUUAAAAUUGGACCUUGGGGAGAAGGAAUCCAAGUGAUAGUUUGAAAUGGUGAGAUGACUAUAAACUUUCAGUUAACCAAGGUGAAUAAGUUCAAGGUGAAUAAGUUCUGGAAAUCUCAGGUACAACAUGGUAGUUAUAGCUAACAAUACUGUAUUAUAUACCUGAAAGUUGCUAAGAGAGUAGAUCUCAAAUAUUCUCACUAUAUACAAAAAUUUUUUUAAUUAUGUGAUAUGAGAGCUUUUAGCUAAUGCUAUGAUGGUAAUCAUAUGACAAUAUGUUAAGUGUUUCAAAUCAGCACAUUGUGGAGUUCCCAUCAUUCGUUAACCACUGCACCACCACGGGAACUCCAGUACCAUACUGUUUUGAUAGCUGAAGCUUUAUAGUAUAGUCUUAAGUCAGAGAGCCUGAUUUCUCCAGCUCUGCUUUUCUUUCUCAAGAUUUCUUUGGCUAUUCGGGGUCUUUUUUGUUUCUAUACUAAUUUAAUUAUUUUUGUUCUGGUUCUGUGAAAAAUGCCAAUUGUAAUUUAAUAGAGAUUGCACUGAAUCUGUAGGUCACCUUGAGUAGUAUAGUCAUCUUGGUGAUAUUGAUUCUUCCAAUCCAAGACUAUGGAUUUCGCUUUGUGUCAUAUUCAAAUUCUUUCAAUAGCAUGUUACUGUUUUAGAGUACCUGUCUUUUGCCUCCUUUGAGAGUUUUAUUCCUAAGUAUUUUAUUCUUUAUGAUACUAAGGUAAAUGUGAUUGUUUCCUAAAUUUAUCUUUCUGAUCUUUUCUUGUUAGUGUAUAGAAAUACGAGAGAUUUCUGUGUAUUGAUUUUGUAUCCUGAAACUUUACUGAUUCAUUGAUGAGCUCUAGUAAUUUUCUGGUAGCUUCUUUAGGGUGCAGGAAUUUUGCUUCUUUCCAAGCUCCCUCCUAGGCACACAGGUCCAGUCCUGAUUUCUUACCUAUCUUUCCUUCCUGAUUUUUUUUUUGUCCUACCUGAUUUCAUGAAGAUCUUCUUGCUCUAUCAGAAUCCUGAGGUCUUUUGCCAGUAUUCAGCAAAUUUUCUAUGAAUCAUUCCACAUGUAGAUUUAUUUUUGAUAUAUUUGUGGGAGGGGGUUAACUUCACAUCCUGCUACUCCACCAUCUUCUCUCUACCCCUACACAGUAUAGAAAUUAUUUGAUGGUUAUGAGGAUUAAGUUAAAUAAUACAUACAAAACACAUGGUGCUGAUUAAUAUGUUAGUUCCUAUUAUCAUUCCAGAUCAGUGUAUGAGCAAUAAGUUGAGCUCAUUGCUUCAUAGCCAUAUUUUAUUUGGAUCUUACAAUGCCAUUCCCCAAACUUAUCAGGUAGUUUAGUUAUGAGACUUUGUAUCUAAAUGACUUUUGACUCUGUAUUUACUCUUAAUGGUAACUAUUUCCUUACAUUAUAAAAUAUUGUGAAAUUUAAUGGAAAACUCAACAGAGGCAUUUUGAGGAAUGAUUCAAACACAAUCUUCAAGUCCAAGCACCUUUAAGAAAGAAAUAAUUGUGAUAUUCAGGAGAAAGGAAGUGAUGUCUCCUUCAAUGAUGAAAUCCUACUAACAUUUACUGAGCACCUUGUGUUUUGACCAGGUCCCCAACCUCCUUCAGCAGUAUGCAAAAACCUGCAAGGUGGAGUCCAUGUCUUUUUCAUCAUUUCAUGCCCAGCAUUCGGAGUACAAGAAGAAAACAUAAGGACUUGAUUUAAAAGUAUUUUUCUAUUUAGACAAAGAAAGCACCAGCAGUUACUUAGAGAAUUUUAUGGGGUGCUAAAAGAAACUGGAACAAAGGAGCAAUGUCUCUGACUUACAGUCAGACGAGCCUACAUUUUAGGGAUACAUUCAGCAGUGGUGAUGAACUUCAAAGUGUAUUGUAGUGGUGCUCCUAUUUGGGGUGAGUUGGCCAUGUGAGAAGUUUGGGAGACAAGUGACAGACUGGCUUAAAGGAGGAAUGAAUUCACAGAGUUGGCAUCAUUUGAACCACGAAUCAAGCUCUAUCAAUUCAGAAAGAUUUAUUGGGCACCUACUAAUUGUAUAGCACCGUGCAUUGCCCUAUGAGGGAUAGAAAGAAGUACAACACAUGGCUAUCAACUUCAGCAAUAAAACAGCUCUUUGCCUUUAUUAUCUUCUCUUUCGGGGAACUACGCUUUCUCCCCACUAAUAGCCUUUUUAUCAAAUGCAGUGAAGGUAUUCCCAACCCACUCUCCUGAAGCUGAAAUGACUUUUCUCUGAAUGUCCCUAUCUUCUCACUCAGUUGUCCUUAACUGCCCAGCUUCACAGCCACAAAAUGCUCCUGAGACUUUAGAGUACAGCUCAGUGACUUCCAUAGGGACCAGCUAAACUAAUAGGAAAGAUGAAAAGUGGGGAUGGGAGAAAACAUACCACACAAGAUAUACAUUAACCUGCACAUGUUCUAUAAUCCACCUCUCUUUGAUUUUAAAUAUUCCAUCUGUGCCUUGCAAUAUAAUAUAAUGGUUAUAAACAUAAAAUUAAUAAUAUAAAGUUAAUGAACAUGAACAUCCAAGAGGAUGCUAAGCACGUGGAGAAAUCUGAGUUAGAUUGAGUUGUGCCCCCAUUAAGGAACAUAAACAGCACUUGGGUUGCUUUACAUGUAGUAGCUGUAAUUGAAAUACUGCUU